GAUGAACGCUAGCGGCAGGCCUAAUACAUGCAAGUCGUACGGCAACACAGUUGCGAGCAAUCGCAACCGGUGGCGAGUGGCGCACGGGUGAGUAACGCGUAUGUAACCUACCCUUCUCCGGGACAUAACUCCGCGAAAGCGGUGCUAAUAUCCCAUACCAACUCAUCAAGACAUCUUCUUGAGUUGAAAGCAGCAAUGCGGUGAAGGAUGGGCAUGCGUCCCAUUAGCUGGUUGGUGAGGUAAUGGCCCACCAAGGUUACGAUGGGUAGGGGUUCUGAGAGGAAAGCCCCCCAACUGGUACUGAGACACGGACCAGACUCCUACGGGAGGCAGCAGUAAGGAAUAUUGGGCAAUGGUCGAAAGACUGACCCAGCCAUGCCGCGUGCAGGAUGAAGGCCCUAUGGGUUGUAAAGCUUGUCUGGGAGGGACGAAGGAAGUGACGGUACCUCCGGAGGAAGCCACGGCUAACUACGUGCCAGCAGCCGAACGG
rnacentral:rRNA from 1 species